rnacentral:rRNA from 1 species
UACGAAGGGGGCUAGCGUUGUUCGGAUUUACUGGGCGUAAAGCGCACGUAGGCGGAUCUUUAAGUCAGAGGUGAAAUCCCAAGGCUCAACCUUGGAACUGCCUUUGAUACUGGGGAUCUUGAGUCCGGGAGAGGUGAGUGGAACUGCGAGUGUAGAGGUGAAAUUCGUAGAUAUUCGCAAGAACACCAGUGGCGAAGGCGGCUCACUGGCCCGGUACUGACGCUGAGGUGCGAAAGCGUGGGGAGCGAACAGG